UUGGGUUGGGUGGACCGUGGAUGGUUUUUAAACGGAAACCUAAAUUACAAGAUUAUAUUGAGGUUCGUAAAUUUUAAACUAUGGCUAAUAAAUAGUAUGAUAAUAUGAUAGUUACGUGUAUUUUUUUUUUUUUUGUGAGAAACACAUCACAUAACUCACAAAACCAUAGAGUUAACAUCAGCUGGCAAAACAGAAGAAAAAACAACAGAACAGCGAUAAGAAAGGCUAAACUUAGCAAGACGAUCAGCAAUCUCAUUUCCUUCACGC
rnacentral:lncRNA from 1 species